UAGGGAAUCUUCCACAAUGGACGAAAGUCUGAUGGAGCAACGCCGCGUGAGUGAAGAAGGUUUUCGGAUCGUAAAGCUCUGUUGUUGGUGAAGAAGGAUAGAGGCAGUAACUGGUCUUUAUUUGACGGUAAUCAACCAGAAAGUCACGGCUAACUACGUGCCAC
rnacentral:rRNA from 1 species